UGAGAUUUUAAUUACCAUAGUACUAGAAAAUGCUCUGGGAAUGAAGGUGAAGUGUGGUAACUGGGAAAUAAGUCAUCUGCUGGUAGUGGGAUGAGAUAAAUGAGAUCAAUGUAUUAAAUCAAGGAAAUUGAAAUUAUUCAGUGUGCAGAAGCAAGUUUACAUUUAGUUUAUCUUUACAUGGCAUCAGACUUUAAGCUGGUACAUCAUGUUUGAGAUAUCUGGCUAUUUGUCCUCCUUUUGAGGAUUUCUAAUUUGUUAAGUGGAUUAAAAGCAUUUCAUGUGAGGAAUAAUUUUAAAAAGUAUCAGUGUUUGUCCUGAGGAAGAAAAAAUGAAGGAGUUAAGAGUUAAUGCCAUCAAAUAUUUGAAAAGCUGUCAUUUGGAGGUGGAAGAGGACUUUACCUGUGUUGUCCUAAGGGAAGAUCUUACGCUAUACUUGAGAGGCAGUCAUUAUUAAAGGCAUUAAAGUGAGACACGUGCUAAUAGAGUAACUAGUUGUCAUGAAAGUGAGGAAACAGAGUAAUCAAGCAGAAAUAAGGACACAGGAUAGAAAUCAGAAUGCCAUAGAAAUAUGCAUUUGAAAAACCAAGAUCAGGAAAGGCUUCAUGUAAGUUGGGAAUGAAGCUUGGCCUAAAAAUACCAGUAGGCACUAGGGUAUGAGUGUGUGUGUGUGUGUGUAUUCCUUGCUAGAGAUACACAAUUGUAGAAAUUGACUGGAUUAGCCGGAAACCUUGGGAUAUGAACUAGAGUCCUCCAUUAGCAGAAGAAAAGGAACUGUGUAAGGGAAAAGUGAACCAAUAUUCCGUGGGAGUGAAAGGGAAGCAAUGCAGAAAUCGGGGGGCUCUGGAGGUACACAGUUGAAAAACAGAGCAAGAGGUGACUAUGAUCAGAGGACAUCAUCAAGCACACAGAUAAAACACAGGAAUGCAGUUCAAGGAAGCAAAUCCUCAUUGUCAACCAGUUCUCCAGAGUCUGCAAGAAAACUUCAUCCUCGACCAAGUGAUAAACUGAACCCUAAAACAAUUAACCCGUUUGGUGAACAGUCACGAGCGCCUUCUGCAUUUGCAGCUAUUUACUCUAAAGGAGGUAUUCCUUGCAGAUUGGUACAUGGUUCAGUAAAACACAGAUUACAGUGGGAAUGUCCUCCUGAAAGUCUUUCAUUUGAUCCACUUCUUAUUACUUUAGCCGAGGGUUUGAGAGAAACCAAGCAUCCAUACACCUUUGUGUCAAAGGAGGGCUUUAGAGAAUUACUUUUGGUCAGAGGUGCUUCUGAAAAAGCUGUUCCUUUGCUACCUAGACUGAUUCCUGUGCUAAAGGCAGCUCUGGUCCAUUCGGAUGAUGAAGUGUUUGAAAGAGGAUUGAAUGCCCUAGUUCAGCUAAGUGUUGUUGUUGGUCCUUCUCUAAACGACCAUCUGAAGCAUCUGCUUACAAGCCUUUCCAAGAGAUUAAUGGACAAGAAAUUCAAAGAGCCAAUCACCAGUGCAUUACAAAAGCUAGAGCAACGUGGCGGAAGUGGAAGCCUUAGCAUCAUCAAAUCUAAAAUUCCAACGUACUGCUCCAUAUGCUGUUGAAGAAGGGAGCCAACAAAAAUUGUUUUUACUACCUGGUGACGUGUCAAACACUGACCAUCACGAUGAAGGAGGACCCAUUUUAUAUUUUGUGGAGUCUAUUGACGGCAUUAAACUACUUUAUUUAAAUCUUUACUUGGUGUGUAAUAGAGGAUAUUUCUCAAAUCAUAAUGCCAAAAUGGAAACUACAGAGGCGCAGAGGAUUUCUGUUGUGUGUCUAGGUGACGAGCUGUAAUUUAAUGCAAUUUUCCGCUCAAUAAAAGACAAGAAAAUUAUGUCCUAAAAAGCAAUGGUCCUUCUGAUGGAGUUUGGAUUUCUUCUGGCAAGCACUUGAAGACAGUGGAAAGUUUGAAAGGAGGAGUGAAGCUACUUGCUUUGAUUGGGUGAGAGAAAGAAGCAAAGGCAUAGGAAUGUCCAGCGAGGCAGAAAACUGGAUAAAAUGACGAAAAGAGAAACUGUCUACAGAAGCAUCUAUGGUUCUGGUUUUACUCCACUGUGUUCUUAAGCACUCAAUAAAUAUUUGUUAAAAGAGUGAAUAACUGGCUUCUUGGAAUCUAGAUUUGAGUACACUCCAGGGCUUAAAAGAUGUAACAAUGAUCUCCCUUCUCCGUCUAUGAUCUCUUCCUGAUCACAUUUCUUUAAAUAACAAAAAUAGUUACUGAGUUUGUUAAGCUGAGAUUGCCUCAGUUUCUUAUAAUUUUACUUGUGAAGCUAAAAAAUAAAUGUUGAGAUUUGAUAGUUGAGCAACAACAUUUACAGAUUCUUAGGAUGGGAAGACAUUUUGGAUAUGAUUUAGCAUUGUAUUUACAUUGAACAAAGGUGAAAAUAGGGACUUUUAGUGACAAACUGAGGUCACCUAGUUACUUCAUGGUAGAGUUGGUAAUGAAAUCAAGAUAUUCCUAUACCACCUCUUAGAAAUCCAAGGAUACUAGAGUAGAAAAAACCUGAGGAUUCCUUUGAUGUGACUCCUACAUUUUACAGAGAAACAACCUGAGGCCAAGAAAAGUAAACUACUCGAGGUACAUACCUUGAUAGGUAGCAGUCUGUCCACAAACUCUGAACUGUCUUAGUCCAAAAGUCUUAACCCAAUUAUAUUGAGAACACAAUGCAUAUAGCAAAUAACCCUUGAGUUCGUUCUUCAUAGUAUUUGAACAAACACACUUGAUUAUCAUGCCCCAGGUUUGUAGAAUGAAAUCAAUCUGGUUUAUUUCUUUUUCCUAUCCCAAAGCCCUACUCCCAUCGAAUUCAAGCACGAAGAAUAGAAUUAGCUUCAUGUAUUGGAAUAUACAAUUCAUGACAUCGUUACUGUGGUAAGGCAAGUUCAUAUGCAUGAAUAGUAGCUUCCGUCAAUAAGCCCUCUGUAAAUCACUCUGAAAAAUUGUUAGAAAUAUUGUCCUAGGACAAGGAUACUCAGUGGGUGAAGUCUUUUUUAAAUUUUCAUCUUUAUGUCUACAGAACUCAUCUGACUCAAGUGCCUUGCACACAGCAGCUGCUUAAUAAAUGUUUAUUGAUAGAUUAUUAUGACUUGAGCUCGUUCAUUCAUUCAUUCAACAGCUGUCUAUUAGAUGCCUAGUGUAGACAACAUAAGUGCAUUCCUACAACAUGAGCAGAAAUAGCCCAGGAAACUAUGAUUUUUAUGGGCUUUAAAAAUGUUUAGUAAACUAAAAGCUUACAUACUAAGCUUCUAUUAUAUGUGGAGUUUAAAAAGUUGUUGCGUAACCAUAUAGGCAGUAGCACCAACAAGCCGUCUCCUCUCUGCUUGCCUUAGAGUAGCCAUACUUUAUCCCCUGCAAACAAGAGGCUUGUGUUCAAUCCAGUUUUUUCUGACAUCCAGCUCACCGAGCAAGUUGGGCUUGAUAAACUGUUUCACAAAGCAGUAGAGAAAGCUAACAGCCUGACACAAUACAAAUUGCAGAGAGUUCUGUAGAUAAGACAAAGCACUUUCCUGGAGGAAAUGGUGAGAUGUUGUGAUUUAUGGACCCAUCAGUGUUACUGUUCAUAAUGAGAAAACCUGUUGCAUUCAGACCAUCAUCCUGAAUAAACGAUGGCUCCAUGGAAUGGAAGUGUAAGGAUGGCCAUCAUAUGAAUUUGUUUGCCAUCAGAGAUCACGUUCUUCCUUAGGACAUUUUUCCUUUUCUGGCCACAUAUAAGAAACAAUUUGUAUGUAUGAUAUUAAUUUUUUUAAUGCAAAGCAAAUCAUAAUUCUUUUAUUUCAUUUCCUUCAGCAAUGCCUCGUGUUCAGAUUUCUGCAUUCAAUUAACAUGAAUAAUCAAAUAAUUGUUAAGAGUGUAACAGUAAUGUUUUCUCAAAUCCCUAAUCCCUUUGGAUUUUGUAACAGGAAUCCUUUGCAAAAUAGAUGUGCUCUGUUUAAGAAGAUGUUCUCUAAUGCGGAAAUGUUGUUUUUCAAAUAAAGAUAUAAUUUUAA